CAAUAGAUAAAACCUAUAAUUCUAGUAAAUAUCGAUAACUGGUGAAUAAAUCUAAACGAAACAACAGCGAUGCGCCCAAAGUUAAAAGCUUAGAUAUUACUCGAUAAACAGAACUUACAGAAUUAGCCGGAGAUCGUGUUGAUGCAGCCCUACUAACCCAUACGAACUCGUGAAAGAAAAAAAGUAUUGGCGAAGUCACCGAUUUGAAAGUAAAGUGCGAUGAAAAAGUAGAUCUGUUUGUAUUGAUUGAUGUGUUGUUUACAAAUCUUCUAAAGAUGGCUAUUUAUAGCAUGUUACAACCAAUUUCCUAACCGACUAGGAUCUAUCUCUAAUUUUAAAUGAAAACGAAUAUUUACAAACACAACUCGUAUUGGAGUUGGUUAUCGUACUCCCACGGGUCAAUCUUUCUCUAUCUUCUUUCUCUGAUCCUCCUUAAGCCCAUAUUGGCCCAAUCGCUCUAGCCUUCCAGUCGGCCGAUCUCCACCAACUCCAUCCGUCAAAACACUGUAGCGCCAAUCGGCCGAUCUCCAACUGUAGCACCAAUCGGCCAAUUCCCAAUCCUGACCUUUUAAUCCCCCAUAUCAGCCAAUCCUCUCUUCUCUUGACGUCGAUCCCAUACGUGUCAAAAUCGGCCAGUGCAUCAAUCUUUCUCGGUCCCAGAUGGAGAGAAAUGAACCUUUGGUGAUGGCAACCUCCUACUUCUGGUCCGACGCUCUCAAUGCGUUCCUUUUC
rnacentral:lncRNA from 1 species